UACAGAGGGUGCAAGCGUUAAUCGGAAUUACUGGGCGUAAAGCGUGCGUAGACGGUUAUGUAAGUCAGAUGUGAAAGCCCCGGGCUCAACCUGGGAAUUGCAUUUGAGACUGCAUAGCUAGGGUGCGGAAGAGGGAAGCGGAAUUUCCGGUGUAGCGGUGAAAUGCGUAGAUAUCGGAAGGAACACCAGUGGCGAAGGCGACUACCUGGCCUGUUCUUGACGCUGAGGCGCGAAAGCUAGGGGAGCAAACGGG
rnacentral:rRNA from 1 species